GGCCAAGUUACUAAGAGCAGACGGUGGAUGCCUUGGUGUCAGGAGGCGAGGAAAGACGUGGUAGGCUGCGAUAAGCUUCGGGGAGUUGCCAAACAAACUUUGAUCCGGAGAUUUCUGAAUGGGGAAACCCGUCCCGGGUAAUGUCGGGACAUCUGCAACUGAAUACAUAGGUUGUAGAGGCGAACGAGGCGAACUGAAACAUCUAAGUAGCCUCAGGAAAAGAAAACAACUGUGAUUUCCAAAGUAGCGGCGAGCGAAAUGGAAACAGCCCAAACCGGAUAUAUGUUAAAGCCCGAAAGCGUUGUAUAUUCGGUGUCGUGGGACUGAUUGGAGAGAGUUUCGGAUCUCUCGGGAAGUUACAAAACUGAUUCAUAAUUGAAGCGGCUGGAACGCCGCGCCAUAGAAGGUGAAAGCCCUGUAAAUGAAAUGAACUCAGUCUUCCUGGGUCAGCACCCAAGUACCGCGGGACACGUGGAACCCUGUGGGAAUUCGGGAGGACCAUCUCCUAAGGCUAAAUACUACCUGACAACCGAUAGUGAACCAGUACCGUGAGGGAAAGGUGAAAAGUACCCCGGUGAGGGGAGUGAAAUAGUACCUGAAACCGUUUGCUUACAAGCAGUGGGAGGACUAUGAGUAUUGUUUCGGCGAUAUUCAGUCUGACCGCGUGCCUUUUGCAUAAUGAGUCAGCGAGUUACUUUGCGUAGCAAGGUUAAGCCGUUAGGUGUAGCCGUAGCGAAAGCAAGUCUUAACAGGGCGUCUAGUUGCGUAGAGUAGACCCGAAACCAAGUGAUCUAUCCAUGGCCAGGGUGAAGCGCCAGUAAAAUGGCGUGAAGGCCCGAACCGUUGUAGGUUGAAAACUGCUCGGAUGAGCUGUGGAUAGGGGUGAAAGGCCAAACAAACUUGGAAAUAGCUGGUUCUCCCCGAAAUAUAUUUAGGUAUAGCCUCGCAAACUCAGUAACGGGGGUAGAGCACUGGAUGGGCUAGGGGUCCCACCAGAUUACCAAACCUAACCAAACUCCGAAUACCGUUAACUUGUUAUUGCGGGAGUCAGACUACGGGAGCUAAGUUCCGUGGUCGAGAGGGAAACAGCCCAGAUCGCCAGCUAAGGUCCCUAAAUGUGUGCUAAGUGGGAAAGGAUGUGGAAAUGCACAGACAACCAGGAGGUUGGCUUAGAAGCAGCCAUCCUUUAAAGAAAGCGUAACAGCUCACUGGUCGAGUGAGUCUGCGCCGAAAAUGUAACGGGGCUAAAGUACACUACCGAAGCUGCGGGAUUUUCCUUUGGGAAGAUCGGUAGGGGAGCAUUCUGUUCGGAUUGAAGGUUUACCGUAAGGAAGGCUGGACAGGACAGAAGAGACCAUGCUGACAUGAGUAACGAUAAAGCGGGUGAAAAACCCGCUCGCCGAAAGCCUAAGGUUUCCUAGGGUAAAGUUAAUCUGCCCAGGGUUAGUCGAUCCCUAAGCCGAGGCCGAAAGGCGUAGGUGAUGGUAAACAGGUUAAUAUUCCUGUACCACCGGGUUAUCAAUGCCUCAUUCGAGGUGAGAGUGAAAGGGGGGACGCAGAAGGGCAGGUCAGCCGUCUGUUGGAAUAGGCGGUUCAAGCCGGUAGGCUGAGUGGAAGAGGUAAAUCCGUCCGCUCAUUCAAAGCCGAGAAGUGAUGAGGAGGGACUUUGUCCCAAUAAACUGACUGAUCCCAUACUGCCAAGAAAAGCCUCUAGCGAGAUAAUCAGGUGAUCGUACCGUAAACCGACACAGGUAGGCAAGGAGAGAAUCCUAAGGCGCUUGAGAGAACCCUGGUUAAGGAACUCGGCAAAAUGACACCGUAACCUCGGGAGAAGGUGUACCCUCAUGUAGGUGAAGCAACUUGCUUGCGGAGCUGAAGGGGGUCGCAGAGAAAUGGCGGUAGCGACUGUUUACUAAAAACAUAGGACUCUGCUAAGUCGUAAGACGAUGUAUAGGGUCUGACGCCUGCCCGGUGCCGGAAGGUUAAGGGGAUUUGUUAGGGUAACCGAAGCAUUGAACCGAAGCCCCGGUAAACGGCGGCCGUAACUAUAACGGUCCUAAGGUAGAAUUAUUGCUGCCCCCCAUACUGGUAACAGUAUGGUGUGCAUCCGGUCAUAUGCUGGAAAGUCUGAGUAUCCCACACUACCUUUUUAUUUUAAGGAGGUGAAAAAGUGCUGGGUGCAGGUAAUCAGCAGGAAAGACUGAUUCAGCGUGGAUGGAUUAUUGGUUUUGUGGAUGGAGAAGGAUGCUUUUCCAUCGGUUUUAUCAGACAAGCAAAUCGAAAAAACCGUAAAGGCUACAAAACUGGCUAUCAGGUAGCUCAUGAGUUUGCUGUAACACAAAGUGAGAAAAGUAUUUCUUGCUUAUAUGAGCUGCGUGAUUUUUUUGAGGUAGGACAAGUGGUGAUUAACAGACGGUACGAUAAUCAUAAGGAGCAUUUGUAUCGUUAUGUUGUGCGAAGGCGCGAAGAUUUGCUGGAAGUUAUUAUUCCGUUUUUUCAGCAAAACCCUUUACAUACCUCAAAGCAACAAGAUUUUGAGAAAUUUGUGCAAUGUGUUGAAUUGAUGCGAGACGGUUUUCAUUUAACUCGCAAAGGUUUGAUUGAAAUUGCAGAGAUUACUCAAACGAUGAAUCGCCAAAAAUCCAGACAUAAGCUGAUCAGUAUCCUCAGAGACCAUACACCGGAUGUCCAAGACAUUGGAUAAUGAUAUGGUCCCAUCUGCAUGGCAACAUGCAGGGAUAAUAUGUGCAGUGUUAUCUGUCUCAACAGAAAUUUGUUGGGAAAGAGAAUAAGCGAAAUUCCUUGUCGGGUAAGUGAAACGAGCCCGUACCGGCUUAUAACGGUGGAGCCCUAACUCGUUGUGGUUUACAAGGAACCAUGUUAAAGAGAAGGGUAAUAUCGUGGGAAGUCAUCCGUAAGGAUUGACCCCGUAACGACUGAAGCAUAAGCUGAGGUGGUGUUUGCUAUUCUGAAUAAGAAUAAAUUUAUAAGCAUCACAAUACGCCGGUAUUUUUUCUGAGGAGUUAAUCUGAUGGAUAUCAAAUCAUCAGGUAUUAGGAAAUACUCUGAAGAGAGAAUAAAGAUAUAGUCUGUACCCUUAGUAAUAAGGGAAUAAUACGAAGUUCCGACCUGCACGAAUGGCGUAACGACUUCCGCACUGUCUCAACCAGGGACUCAGUGAAAUUGUAUUGGCGGUGAAGAUGCCGUCUACCCGCGAAAAGACGGAAAGACCCCGGCACCUUUACUACAGCUUGACAUUGGAUUUUGAAAUAGUAUGUGUAGGAUAGGUGGGAGGCUUUGAAACCGGGACGCUAGUUUCGGUGGAGCUACCCUUGAAAUACCACCCUUGCUAUUUUAGGGUUCUAAUUUCGACCCGUUAUCCGGGCGAAAGACAGUGUCUGGCGGGUAGUUUGACUGGGGCGGUCGCCUCAACAGUGGGGCGCUCUGGCGGCAACGUCAGAGGCAAAUCCGGCUGUAUGCUGGAACGUCCGUCCCCUAAGCAUAAUCUAUUCCGUUACAGAUAAUGCUGAAGGGGUGUAGUACCGGCACUACUUUGAUAACAAAGUGAAAAUGUGACCGGUGCGGACAAUCAGCAGGGAAGUCUUUAAUGACCCCUCAACGACUGUACGCCGGACAUCCCACAGGGAUGAUGAUACAGUCUGAACUCUCAGGUAACUGAGAGCCGAUUCGUCGGCGUCUUGAAUAGGUAAUUUCAUGAACUCUCAGAAGAUAGAAGCAUAUAAAAAGGAACUGAAACUUUCUCGGAAACAGCGAGAGGUCCUGAUCGGACUGAUGAUGGGCGAUGCCCAUAUGGAGACGCAGAACCGGGGACGUACAUACCGACUGAAGAUUGAGCAAAGUGAACGGCAUGCAGAUUAUGUGGCUCACUUAUACGAUCUGUUCAGAGAAUGGGUGUUUGCGCCUCCGCGAAAGAGAGAAGUUGUCUCCAAAGAACAUGGAAGCGUGAAUCUGGUUUUCCAAACGGUAAGUCAUGGUUCAUUCCGCUUUUAUGCUCAUCAGUUUUACAGAGAAGGAAGAAAACAGGUUCCCAAACUGAUUCACCGAUGGCUGACGCCUGUUAAUAUGGCUUACUGGUAUAUGGAUGAUGGUUCCGUAAAAUCCGGGCAGUCAAAAGGUGUUAUCCUGAAUACACAUGCUUUCUAUCGUUCAGAGAUAGAUCGAUUGGUGAAAGUUGUGGGAUCGCUUUUUGAAUUAGAAGCGAAACCACGGAAGCAGAAAGGGGGAUACCAGAUCUACAUUUCAGGUCAUUCUUACGAGCGAUUUGAAGAACUGGUUGAUCCUCAUAUCAUCGAGUCAAUGAAAUAUAAGUUACCUCCAGCAAGACGAACAUAAUUGCCUAAAGAGUAACGGAGGCGCGCGAAGGUUCCCUCAGGCUGAUUGGAAACCAGCCGUGGAGUGUAAAGGCAUAAGGGAGCUUGACUGCGAGAGAGACAUUUCGAGCAGGUACGAAAGUAGGUCUUAGUGAUCCGGCGGUCCCGUAUGGAAGGGCCGUCGCUCAACGGAUAAAAGGUACGCCGGGGAUAACAGGCUUAUCGCCCCCAAGAGUUCACAUCGACGGGGCGGUUUGGCACCUCAACAUCAGGGGUGAAAUAACAGAAAUGUUAUUUGAAGUAUCGGCUUAUAACGGUGAAACCCUAACGAUCAAAGACGAGGGCAAUACCGUGGGAAGUCAUCCGUAAAGGUUGACCCCGUAACGACUGAAGCGUAUAUCGCUGAUGAUGGUAGUCGCUAUCUGAAUACAGAUAAAUUUAUGGCUAUCAUAAUACGCCGACCCUUCGGUGAGAAAAAAUCUCACCAAGGUGAAGAUAUAGUCUAUGCCAUUGGAAACAAUGGAGUAACAUGCGAUGUCGGCUCGAACACGGGCCUCUAUAGGAGUAAUUCUAUAGGAAAUAUUCGGCUUAUAACGGUGAACUCCGAACAGGUAAUGCUGAGGACAAUACCGUGGGAAGUCGGGAAGUUGGAUACAAACUUCUUUGACCCCGUAACGACUGAAGCCAUAGUGCUGAGAUGGUAGAAUAUGCCUGAUUAACAGGUAAAUCUAUGACUACCAUAAUACGCCGAACGCCAGCUUAAAGUGUUCGUAAAUAUUUAGGCUGGAUGAUGAUAUAGUCUGACCCCAUAGUAAUAUGGGAAUGAGUUGCAUCACAUCCUGGGGCUGGAGCAGGUCCCAAGGGUUUGGCUGUUCGCCAAUUAAAGUGGUACGUGAGCUGGGUUUAAAACGUCGUGAGACAGUUUGGUCCCUAUCUUUCGUGGGCGCAGGAUAUUUGAGAGGAUCUGUUCCUAGUACGAGAGGACCGGAAUGGACGAACCAAUGGUGUUCCAGUUGUCGCGCCAGCGGCAUUGCUGGGUAGCUAUGUUCGGAAUGGAUAACCGCUGAAAGCAUCUAAGCGGGAAACCAACCUCGAGAUUAGAUAUCCCCUCUGUAUGGAAACAUACAGGCUAAAGACCCCUUGAAGACUACAAGGUUGAUAGGCCGGAUGUCUAAGUUCAGUAAUGGAUUAAGCUUACCGGUACUAAUAGGUCGUGAGGCUUGGCCAC
rnacentral:rRNA from 1 species